rnacentral:rRNA from 1 species
GAUGAACGCUGGCGGCGUGCCUAAUACAUGCAAGUCGAGCGAACAGACGAGGAGCUUGCUCCUCUGACGUUAGCGGCGGACGGGUGAGUAACACGUGGAUAACCUACCUAUAAGACUGGGAUAACUUCGGGAAACCGGAGCUAAUACCGGAUAAUAUAUUGAACCGCAUGGUUCAAUAGUGAAAGACGGUUUUGCUGUCACUUAUAGAUGGAUCCGCGCCGCAUUAGCUAGUUGGUAAGGUAACGGCUUACCAAGGCAACGAUGCGUAGCCGACCUGAGAGAGUGAUCGGCCACACUGGAACGGAGACACGGUCCAGACUCCUGCGGGAGGCAGCAGUAGGGAAUCUUCCGCAAUGGGCGAAAGCCUGACGGAGCAACGCCGCGUGAGUGAUGAAGAUCUUCGGAUCGUAAAACUCUGUUAUUAGGGAAGAACAAAUGUGUAAGUAACUAUGCACGUCUUGACGGUACCUAAUCAGAAAGCCACGGCUAACUACGUG